rnacentral:rRNA from 1 species
AUUGAACGCUGGCGGCAGGCUUAACACAUGCAAGUCGAACGAGUGGCUGACGGGUGAGUAAUGCUUGGGAAUCUAGCUUAUGGAGGGGGAUAACUACGGGAAACUGUAGCUAAUACCGCGUACCAUAGGAUGAGCCCAAGUGGGAUUAGGUAGUUGGUGAGGUAAAGGCUCACCAAGCCGACGAUCUCUAGCUGGUCUUAGAGGAUGACCAGCCACUCUGGAACUGAGACACGGCCCAGACUACUACGGGAGGCAGCAGUGGGGAAUAUUGCGCAAUGGGGGCAACCUGACGCAGCCAUGCCGCGUGAAUGAAGAGGGCCUUCGGGUUGUAAAGUUCUUUCGGUGACGAGGCGUAAACUGCAGGAGAAGCACCGGCUAACUCCGUGCCAGCAGCCACGGUAAUUC